rnacentral:rRNA from 1 species
UACGUAGGUGGCAAGCGUUGUCCGGAUUUAUUGGGUUUAAAGGGUGCGUAGGCGGCCUUAUAAGUCAGUGCUGAAAUAUCCCGGCUUAACCGGGAGGGUGGCAUUGAUACUGUAGGGCUUGAGUACAGAUGCCGUUGGCGGAAUAUGACAUGUAGUGGUGAAAUACAUAGAGAUGUCAUAGAACACCGAUUGCGAAGGCAGCUGACGAAACUGUAACUGACACUGAGGCUCGAAAGUGUGGGGAUCAAACAGG